AAUCAACGCUGGCGGCGUGCCUCAGACAUGCAAGUCGAACGAGAAGGUGACUUCGGUCACUGGAUAGUGGCGUCCGGGUGAGUAACACGUAGGUAAUCUACCUUCGGGUGGGGAAUAACGUCUCGAAAGAGACGCUAAUACCGCAUAAUGCAGCGGCACCUAAUGGUGAUUAGUUGUUAAAGCGGGGGAUCUUCGGACCUCGCGCCUGAAGAGGAGCCUGCGGCAGAUAGCUAGUUGGUGAGGUAAUGGCUCACCAAGGCUUCGAUCUGUAGCUGGUCUGAGAGGACGGCCAGCCACACUGGCACUGACACACGGGCCAGACUCCUACGGGAGGCAGCAGUGGGAAUUUUGGGCAAUGGGCGAAAGCCUGACCCAGCAACGCCGCGUGAAGGAGGAAAUCCUUCGGGAUGUAAACUU
rnacentral:rRNA from 1 species